rfam:TPA: Bos taurus chromosome 4, whole genome shotgun sequence.
UCCCUGAUGGUUCAGUGGUAAAGAACCUGCCUGCCAAUGCAGGAGACACAGGUUCAAUUCCUGGGUCAGGGAG